rnacentral:rRNA from 1 species
UACAGAGGUCCCAAGCGUUGUUCGGAUUCACUGGGCGUAAAGGGUGCGUAGGUGGCGGGGUAAGUUUGAUGUGAAAGCUCCGAGCUUAACUCGGAAAUGGCAUUGAAUACUAUCCUGCUCGAGGUUUGGAGGGGGGACUGGAAUUCUCGGUGUAGCAGUGAAAUGCGUAGAUAUCGAGAGGAACACCAGUGGCGAAGGCGAGUCCCUGGACAACACCUGACACUGAGGCACGAAAGCUAGGGGAGCAAACAGG